rnacentral:misc_RNA from 1 species
GAUGAAGAACGUAGCGAAAUGCGAUGAGUAAUGUGAAUUGCAGAAUUCAGUGAAUCAUCGAAUCUUUGAACGCACAUUGCGCCCAUUAGCAUUCUAGUGGGCAUGCCUGUUCGAGCGUCAUUUCAACCCUUAAGCCCUGUUGCUUAGCGUUGGGAGCCUACAGUACUGUAGCUCCCCAAAGUUAGUGGCGGAGUCGGUUUCACACUCUAGACGUAGUAAUUUUUUCUCGUCUGUAGUUGAGCCGGUCCCCUGCCGUAAAACACCCAAUUUAUCAAGGUUGACCUCGGAUCAGGUAGGAAUACCCGCUGAACUUAAGCAUAUCAAUAAGCGGAGGA